rnacentral:tRNA from 1 species
GCGGAAAUGGCGGAAUUGGUAGACGCACCAGAUUUAGGUUCUGGCGCCGCCAGGUGUGAGAGUUCAAGUCGCUCCUUCCGCACCA